rnacentral:rRNA from 1 species
GUGAGGAAUAUUGCGCAAUGGAGGCAACUCUGACGCAGCCAUGCCGCGUGCAGGAAGAAGGCGCUACGCGUUGUAAACUGCUUUUAACCGGGAAGAAACCCCAGGACGUGUCCUGGGUUGACGGUACCGGAGGAAUAAGCACCGGCUAACUUCGUGCCAGCAGCCGCGGUAAUACGAAGGGUGCAAGUGUUAUCCGGAUUCAUUGGGUUUAAAGGGUGCGUAGGCGGAGCGUUAAGUCAGUGGUGAAAUCCUGCAGCUUAACUGUAGACUUGCCAUUGAUACUGGCGCUCUUGAGUGCGCUUGAAGUGGGCGGAAUGUGCCGUGUAGCGGUGAAAUGCUUAGAUAUGGCACAGAACACCAAUUGCGAAGGCAGCUCACUAAGGCGAUACUGACGCUGAGGCACGAAAGCGUGGGGAUCGAACAGGAUUAGAAACCCCUGUAGUCC